rnacentral:lncRNA from 9 species
AUGUCAGCAGUCCUCCCUGUUGUGAUAGAUUGCAUAGGAUGCUGCUUCCGGAUCCAAAGGAACAAUCGACAGAUGUCACAAAGAUCCACCUCUGGCUGCAUCAGAAAAUUAUGCUCCUGGCUCCACCAGCGAAUGCAACGGGCUAAUGGGUCGGGGACAGUUCACCCUCGGCAUAUUUUGGUGAAGGAGUACAGCAGCUCAGAAGAUAUUCCAUCUGACCCCUCACUCAUGUUGUACGAGUGGCCUUACAGAAGCGAAUUUAUUGCGGAGAGCGUUGGCAGCAUCACUAACGAAGAUGAAGAAUGUUACAUGGCAGAUAACGAGAAUUCUGACAAGGAAAGCAGAAUUAAGCGGAAGCGGAAACGCUCCCUGUUCCUGCGUUUAAGAAAAGCAUUUGGGGGGACAGCCUCCGAUGCCGAUGAUGAGCACACCUAGGAAGAGGCAGUGUCGAUGUGGCAGACCGGGGGUGCAAAGAUUGUCAGUUUGGCAUCAAUGACAACCUGGAUGUGAACACCCCCAGCCUACGCCUCAGCACAUCCAUACCAUCAGGACCUCCACCUAAAUAAGUCCAGAAGCAGCCUCACUCAAUGCUCACCUCCUAGGGCACCUCACUUAGUAUAAUCUCCGUUGUUUAACUGCAUAGAUUUAGUGUAUUAGUUAUAUCCCUAGUUUUAUCUUUUAGUUUUCUCUAUAUGUUCUAUAUGUUCAAUAUUUAUCUCUAUGUUCUGUCUUUUAUGAAAUAAAAUGUUUCUUAUUAAAUUUAAUUUAUUAUU